CUGCCUGCCUGUGCAAAUGUAGUAUCUGUUCAUAUCAGUGUAAUAGCUGAUAAGUUCGUGGUCCAAAAACUCAAUAUUAAAUGGCUUUUUGGAGCUCAGAGGUGACCGGGGUCUUGUUUCACCUGCUGCAUCACUUUCAUGUUGCAGUGCAUCUGGAAGAAUUGCUGUAGUACCA
ensembl:snRNA U2 U2 spliceosomal RNA